GCCACCAAUGGAAAGAUGAACGAGACCACCGAGUACCGUUCGCCGCGAGAUUCCGAUGGCCACGGUACACACACAGCGUCCAUUGCUGCAGGUCGUUAUGUGUUUCCAGCUUCAACUUUAGGUUAUGCUCGUGGUAAAGCCGCCGGAAUGGCUCCUAAGGCCCGUCUUGCCGCCUAUAAAGUCUGCUGGAACGCCGGCUGCUACGACUCCG
rnacentral:misc_RNA from 1 species